rnacentral:tRNA from 1 species
GCGCCAGUUACUUGGCGCAAUUCGACAGAUGGCUACGAACCAGGCGGUCGGGAGUUCGAAUCUCUCCGGGCGCGCCA